NNNNNNNNNNNNNNNNNNNNNNNNNNNNNNNNNNNNNNNNNNNNNNNNNNNNNNNNNNNNNNNNNCCGUGGUUUGCGGAUCUGGUCAAUCUGUAGCGGGCUCUCCAUGGGAGAUUCCCCUCAGACAGGACUUACUAUCGCAAGCACGAGGGAUGAUUUGGCACCCAAGGCCAGAUCUGUGGAAACUGUGGGCGUGGCCUCUGAGCGGAGUGAGUUAAUAUGUCCCGGUCUUUCUGCGGAAACCUCCGAGACUAUUAUGAAUUCCAGAGCAGCAUCUACGAGACGCUUAUAUGCUUUCAAAUGGAAGCUGUUUACGACCUGGUGUGGUUUUCGUAGUAUGGAUCCAGUUUACUGCCCAGUGGCUUCAGUACUGGAGUUCCUUCAAGACCGUUUCUCUGAUGGAGUAACGCCAGCAACUUUGAAAGUUUACGUGGCAGCCAUUUCAGCUAACCACGUAUAUAUAGAUGGUGCUUCAGUGGGCCGCCAUCCGCUGGUCUCUCGCUUUUUACAAGGUGCGCGACGGCUGAGGCCUUUCCGCCCUGUGCGAGUUCCUUCAUGGGAUUUAUCUAUUGUGCUGCAAGGUCUAUCAGGACAUCUGUUUGAGCCCUUGGAAACCAUACCGGAUAAAAUCCUGAGCUUGAAGACAGUUCUUCUUAUGGCUUUAUCCUCCCUCAAGAGAGUUGGGGAUUUACAGGCUCUUUCUGUUUCGCCGUCGUGCAUGGACUUUGCACCGGGCUCUGUGAAGGUAUUGCUGCGACCGAGGCCUAAUUAUGUCCCUAAGGUCGAUUCGAACCCCUUUCGUUUUCAGCAGGUGGUCUUGGAGGCUUUACCCCCUGCUGAGACAGGAUCAGGAGAUCUAAGUCUUUGCCCUGUCAGAGCGCUCAAGACUUAUGUCGAUCGAACAGCCCCAUGGCGUGAGUCCGACCAGCUGUUUGUCUGUUUUGGACACAAGAAUAGAGGCCAUGCUGUCACGAAGCAACGCAUGUCCCAUUGGUUGGUGGAGGCAAUAUCUUUAGCCUAUGAGGCGCGCGGUCUCGCUUCGCCUCUAGGAGUCAGAGCUCAUUCCACUAGAGCAGUUGCUUCCUCUCAGGCUGUCCUCAGUGGAUCUUCUAUGGCUGAUAUCUGUGCUGCGGCAGGAUGGUCCUCACCGAACACUUUUAUCAAGUUUUACAGUUUGGAUGUAAGGACGGCUCCUGGCUCCCGGGUUCUCUCCGCUUGAGCAGAUGCUUCCUUGGAUCCCAGCUAUCAGGUACGUCAGGCGUUAUGGUAUAGGGUUCCCAUACUGUGACGUCACCGCAGCAUCGAAGUGACCUAUGAAAGGGAACAUCUCGGUUACGUAUGUAACCACGGUUACAUACGUAACCGUAUGUAGCCGGUUAACGAGAUGCUGCGGUCCCGGCCGUUCCAUACCUGAUAGCAUUCUUCUCUUCAGUUCAUGAAAUCUGAGCGAAAUAGCGCGCGGCACCCGGGUAUACGAUGCGUACGCAUGCGUAGGGCGGUGCCAAGCGCUAUUUGGCCAAUAGGAUUGGCGAGAUGGUAUAAGGCUUCAGACAUUCGUCACACCGAAGGUGUUCCCAUACGGUGACGUCACCGCAGCAUCUCGUUCCCUAUUCAGGGAACCGUGGUUACAUACGUAACCGAGAUGUUUUCACUGUUCUCUGUUACAUCUAUUACAUUUCUUU
ensembl:lncRNA